UCUCAACGGGGGAUAUAUAUUCUAUCCAUGCAUUGGUUUCUGUAUGUAAUUUUAUGUAGGGUGAGCAUCUUCCUGGUUUUAAUAUCUAACUUAUUAAGCUCAUCCUGUGGCCAGUCUAUUAUGCCAAACCCAUAGCUCACCACAGGCAAUGCAAACUGGUUCAUGGCUGUGAUCUUGUUCUUUGGUGUCAAUUCUGAUUUACAGAUCUUCUUUAAGUGGUUUAGGUAUUCUUGUGCAACUAUCUCUCUG